GACGAACGCUGGCGGCGUGCUUAACACAUGCAAGUCGAACGGAAAGGCCCUGCUUGCAGGGUACUCGAGUGGCGAACGGGUGAGUAACACGUGGGUGAUCUGCCCUGCACUUCGGGAUAAGCUUGGGGAACUGGGUCUAAUACCGGAUAGGACCGCACUUUAGUGUGUGUGGUGGAAAGUUUUUUCGGUGUAGGAUGAGCUCGCGGCCUAUCAGCUUGUUUGUGGGGUAAUGGCCCACCAAGGCGGCGACGGGUAGCCGGCCUGAGAGGGUGUGCGGCCACAUUGGGAGUGAGAGACGGCCCAGACUCCCACGGGAAGCAGCAGUGGGGAAUAAUGCACAAUGGGCGCAAGCCUGAUGCAGCGACGCCGCGGGGGGGAAGAAGGCCUUCGGGUUGUAAACUCCUUUCGCUAGGGACGAAGCUUUUUGUGACGGUACCUAGAGAAGAAGCACCGGCUAACUACGUG
rnacentral:rRNA from 1 species